CAAUAUAAAUACUCCCUCACUUCGGCUCCUUCCUUCAAAAAACAGAGCCUCCUCUCUCUUUAGCUCACAGGUUCUUCGCUCAGGGUUUCGGCGAGGGUGGGAUCGUCAGCAGCCAGUUUGAUUUCGCAAACGACUUCUCUCUUAUCUCUUCCACCGAAGGAAUUUGUACUUUGGAGGGAAACCUGUUUGGCUACAUUUUCUUCAUCUUUGAGAACAAUGGAGGAUGAGGAUGCUGAUUUCUGGGCUGACUAUUACCUGCAUAACGAGUUCCGGGCAUUAGAUGAAGAGGACCUCGCCUUGUUUGAAGAGAUUCUUCCUGUUGUGCAUAAUGAAGUUCAGCCUGCUGCAGCAGUUCAAGGAGAUCCCGGUCUUGAGGUGGGCGGACGAGGAAGGGGAAGAGGAACCCCUCUUGAUGGUGAGCUUGGGGAGG